rnacentral:misc_RNA from 1 species
UCUCCGUUGGUGAACCAGCGGAGGGAUCAUUAUCGAGUUUAUAACUCCCAAACCCUAUGUGAACUUACCACUUGUUGCUUCGGCGCGCGCUUCGGUGCCGCCGAGGACACUUAAACUCUUUGUUUUUAUAAGCAUUUCUGAGUGGCCGAAAGGCAAAAUACAAAUGAAUCAAAAUUUUCAACAACGGAUCUCUUGGUUCUG